rnacentral:lncRNA from 1 species
UUUGUAAACAGUAUUAUAAUUUAGGGAUUUAAUUGAAAUUAAUCCAAAAGGGCAAAAUUAAAAGAAAAUUUUAAUUGCUUAGAGGUCCAAUUGCCGAAUUUCCAAAGAAGCAGGGGUCAAAAUGAAAAUGUGUCUUUUGGCCGAAACGUCGUCGUUGCUGGUGGAACAGUCGUGUGAUCUUCUUCAUCCCGAUUUAACCGGAGACCUGAAAAUCUGCAACAGAUCCAAUCAUGGACCACGUCUCUUGCCCAUGAUCUCGUUCGUGGAAGAUAACAGUCCUGCAAAGGUAGGACUGGUUAGAGGCAAGCUGCUGGGUCUCUAUAAAAGGGGAAGAAAAACCCAAAGUAGAGGACGAAGAAAACUCAAGUAAAACCCAGAGGAAAAACCCAGAAAACAGAGAGGGACGAACAGGCCAAGAACCGAGGGGUGAAAGACGAAAACAGGGAGGGGCAGAACUGAAGCUAAACCCAGACAAAAAACCCAAAAACAGAGCAAAUCACAGAAAAGAAACAGAGCAUAAACCCAAAAAAUAUAUAUACACAGAGAAGGAGAGAAAGGCAGAGGAGAGUCACAGAUCAGCCCUGCCAUUGUCUUCGUCCCUGCAAGAAAAAAAAGAAAACCAGUGAUGAACAACCCAGAACACUGAGAAGAGGAGAGAAAAUCAGAGGAAAAACCAUUGUCUUCGUUCCUGCAGAAAAAGAACAACUCAAAAAUCAGUCAAAAUAAAUCCAGCAGACGGUGGGCACAAGAGCAAAAGGGAAAGUAGAAGGAGGUAUACAGCAGACGAAAGUCACCACCAGCGUUCCAGCCAGAGCUUCGCCAUCGUCUCCGUCGCCUCUAACAAAGCAG